UACGAAGGGGGCUAGCGUUGUUCGGAAUUACUGGGCGUAAAGCGCACGUAGGCGGGUUUGUAAGUAGGGGGUGAAAUCCCUGGGCUCAACCCAGGAACUGCCUUCUAGACUGCAAGCCUGGAGGUCAGGAGAGGCGAGUGGAAUUCCGAGUGUAGAGGUGAAAUUCGUAGAUAUUCGCAAGAACACCAGUGGCGAAGGCGGCUCACUGGCCCGGUACUGACGCUGAGGUGCGAAAGCGUGGGGAGCAAACAGG
rnacentral:rRNA from 1 species